rnacentral:rRNA from 1 species
GAUGAACGCUGGCGGCGUGCCUAAUACAUGCAAGUCGAACGAAACUUCUUUAUCACCGAGUGCUUGCACUCACCGAUAAAGAGUUGAGUGGCGAACGGGUGAGUAACACGUGGGCAACCUGCCCAAAAGAGGGGGAUAACACUUGGAAACAGGUGCUAAUACCGCAUAACCAUAGUUACCGCAUGGUAACUAUGUAAAAGGUGGCUAUACUACCGCUUUUGGAUGGGCCCGCGGCGCAUUAGCUAGUUGGUAGGGUAAAGGCUUACCAAGGCAAUGAUGCGUAGCCGAAUUGAGAGGUUGAUCGGCCACAUUGGGACUGAGACACGGCCCAAACUCCUACGGGAGGCAGCAGUAGGGAAUCUUCCACAAUGGGCGAAAGCCUGAUGGAGCAACGCCGCGUGGGUGAAGAAGGUCUUCGGAUCGUAAAACCCUGUUGUUAGAGAAGAAAGUGCGGGAGAGUAACUGUUCACGUUUCGACGGUAUCUAACCAGAAAGCCACGGCUAACUACGUG